rnacentral:rRNA from 1 species
GACGAACGCUGGCGGCGUGCCUAAUACAUGCAAGUCGAACGCACUCUCGUUUAGAUUGCCGGAGUUUGCUCCUGAUUGAUAAACAUUUGAGUGAGUGGCGGACGGGUGAGUAACGCGUGGGUAACCUGCCCUAAAGUGGGGGAUAACAUUUGGAAACAGAUGCUAAUACCGCAUAAAACCUAACACCGCAUGGUGUAGGGUUGAAAGAUGGUUUCGGCUAUCACUUUAGGAUGGACCCGCGGUGCAUUAGUUAGUUGGUGAGGUAAAGGCUCACCAAGACCGUGAUGCAUAGCCGACCUGAGAGGGUAAUCGGCCACACUGGGACUGAGACACGGCCCAGACUCCUACGGGAGGCAGCAGUAGGGAAUCUUCCACAAUGGACGAAAGUCUGAUGGAGCAACGCCGCGUGAGUGAAGAAGGUUUUCGGAUCGUAAAACUCUGUUGUUGGAGAAGAAUGUAUCUGAUAGUAACUGAUCAGGUAGUGACGGUAUCCAACCAGAAAGCCACGGCUAACUACGUG